AACGAACGCUGGCGGCGUGCCUAACACAUGCAAGUCGAGCGAGAAAGCCCGCAAGGGUGAGUAAAGCGGCGCACGGGUGCGUAACACGUGGGUAAUCUGCCCUAGAGUCCGGAAUAACUCGCCGAAAGGCGCGCUAAUGCCGGAUGAGACCACGGGAGCUUCGGCUCCUGCGGGAAAAGGUGGCCUCUGUAUACAAGCUAUCGCUCUAGGAUGAGCCCGCGGCCCAUCAGCUAGUUGGCGGGGUAAUGGCCCACCAAGGCUACGACGGGUAGCUGGUCUGAGAGGACGAUCAGCCACACUGGAACUGAGACACGGUCCAGACUCCUACGGGAGGCAGCAGUGGGGAAUCUUGCGCAAUGGGCGAAAGCCUGACGCAGCAACGCCGCGUGUGUGAUGAAGGUCUUCGGAUCGUAAAGCACUGUCGCGAGGGACGAAUAAGGGGCGGGCUAACAUCCCGUUCCGAUGACGGUACCUCGAGAGGAAGCACCGGCUAACUCUGUGCCAGCCGCCGCGGUAACAC
rnacentral:rRNA from 1 species